ACCACACAAACUUAAAUUUCACAAGAGUAAAUGUUUGAUAAAUUAUCAUAAAAAAUAAACAAAAAUUUAAAUUGAAAUUAAGAUAUACACAUAAUAAAAUUCUAAUUUGAAGUCCUUAAAUUGUCACUGCAGUCCUUCUGCAAAGGGGGCAAAAAUUCUUCUGCAUAAACUACUGAUUAAUACAGUUGAAAUGAAAGGUAUGUUGACAAUCGCCACUUCCAAUGAUAUGUCCAUUAAAGAAGUUACCCUACAAACUUCAAGACUAUUUUACUACUACAAGAAGAGUAAUAUGGGUAUUGUCUAUCUGUUUCUGCAAUGUUCCAAAGUGUAGUGGAUAUUUCCACAUUUCUCCACCCAUUUGUCUUCAUUGCAACCACAAAUGCAAAAAAUCCAACCCAAAAAAAAAGGGGACAUUUCUAGAAGACAUUUUCUUGAAUAAAUAAGACUAUCUUCUCAAUUGUGUUCAGCUUUUGGUUCAAUCCUCAGCAGUAAGCUCACAGGGGCUCUUGUAGAAUUAUAUACUACCAAAUACCAGAGAGAUGGCUGUUGAUGGUAUAGAAGAGGUACACAACACCUUGCAGAACCAAAAGUGUUUGAUCGAGAAGGCAUGAGAGAUUGAUCACAACAACAAAAAUGAAUCUCCUAUUGUAGAAUUUAUAAAUAUUAUCUGUAUUAAUAUAAAUAGACUACAUUCACUACCAUAUGUUACGUGUUGGGCCCGUGCAAUGCACGGCCAUACCUAUCUAGUUUUAGUAAAAAAAUGCUAAA